ensembl:lncRNA
AGGACCAUAAUGAAGCGUGGCAUUGACCCAGGAAAUUCAUCUACCUCAGGCAUCAACUUUUGGAAACGCAUCAUCUGGCUUUCUGGGAAACCGCAGCUUGUCGCAUGGAAGAGAAAGGAGCGUCAUCCCGGAGCACUGUGAUCCGGGUCAUGCAAUCUAUAUUCUGUGGAGCUUGUCAAGAGAGGAGUCCCUGGCAAACUGUACAUCAGCGAAUACCAAAUGCUCUGCAGUUAGGUGCUAGGCACCAAAAUGGUUAUGUAGUUAUCACAAAUGUCAUUAGACGUCAGAGCAGCUGUGUAACUGCAGUAGCUUUGAAGUCACAGGUUGUUUGUUGUUGUCGCUGUUAUUUUGUUCUUUAAUAAAGAAGAAAAAG